GGCUCUUUCUCACACCGAACCUGACCUCCUGGGAUUUCCAUAAUGUCCCCCAAAAGGGCUGCGUUGGUUCUUCUACGCUCCUGGGGUCUCAGUCUGGCUGAGCAAACAGGCAACAUUUUUCGAUCCAAAGCAAUACUCUACCUAGUGUGUUUGCAAAGUCUAUUUGCAUCCCGGCCUCCCAGGGAUUCAGAAUCUCUGGUUAAUAGCUGUGGCAGAAGAGUCAACCCAGGUACCAUCACCCCAGAGUCAUGUAAAUGUGGAUAAAGCUCCCAGGUAUGUCUUAAGGCUGCUCAGCACACUUGGCACCGGCAUUGUCUUCUCACUGUGGUUAACAGCAGCUGUGAGGCAUCUAUCUCCUCGGCAGGCAGAUGUGGAGGACAGAGCAUUUUGCAGCUGUGACUCCUAUGAAUGCAUGUGAGCGUCUC